CCGUUCGGUUCCAUUUGAAGCUUGUAGCUCCACCACAAGUUAUGACUUUUCCUAUUUUCCCGUAACAAAAUCCCUCACAUCCUUUUCAAGAGUAACACUGAAAAGAUGAUACUCUCUUUUCGGCAUGGCAGCUGAGUUGUCAUGUCUCAUUCUCAUCCGUCACUGUCAGUGAAAGGGCAAGAUUGUCGAGCAGUUUGAGCCAGGGACAAAACAUUACUUGGUCCUUUAUAACUGACUACUAGAUGGAGUGUAGGUAAAAUGUCGAAUAGGGUGCGUAUCAAAACGGCAUCUAAAAAAAUCAGAUAUGCAAAUAAUGAUUUUCCGAAUCCUAUAAAAACGGGAUGCUAGAAUGAAAAGUUCUCUUUUCGUUUGUGAUCCUGGACCGGUUAGUAGUGCGCGCGUGUGUAAACUAGUCGUGAAGAAUUGAGGUUGUCUAAAAAAACUAUUACUAUGUUAGUUGCUGUGUUAGUUAAAAAUUGUUAGUACGUUAAAAAUCAAAAUAAGGCUAUGCUGAAGUACUGCCUGUGAUAAAAUUAUAUUAGAACAACCUACACACAAACAGAACAACAAGAAAAAGGUCCAGAGUGGACCUUUUUCUUUUAUUCACCAGCAAAACCAAUCGGCGGUUAGACGGACAGUCUGGUCGCACAUGCACUAUGGUCAGGAGAAAAACGCCGAAAAGGGAAUUCCGGUAGCUAUCGUGUGAGACGUGUCGAGUCCACACCGAACCAAUGCUGUUUUCCGCCAUCUUUCUCAACAACAAUGAGUAUCACCCUAAACCGGAGGCAAUCGUCACCCUACGUCGAUCGAUCGUCCACUUCUGAGCCAUGGGAGCUCGAAAACUAUGCCGCUCUCUGGAUGCUCAACGAUCUGGCGAAUGGACGAUUCAGCCUCACCGCACCGACGACUUCCAAGGAACGUCGGUCAUGGAAGUUCGACCAAACGCCGAAACCAACAUUCAGGCCCGUCGACCAUCAGAGUCACCGAGAUCAUCCAGUUCCAACAACCAACAACUCAAAGCGCAAGUACCCCUAUAAAUGUGACGUCACAAUAAACAUUGUAUAGUUAAAAA